GGAGGGCCAUAGUUCAGUGGUGGAACACAUCUGUUUUGCGUACAGAAGUUCCUAGGUUCAAUCCCCAGAAUCUUCA